UACGUAGGGUGCAAGCGUUGUCCGGAAUUAUUGGCGUAAAGGGCUCGUAGGCGGUCUGUCGCGUCGGGAGUGAAAACUCAGGGCUUAACCCUGAGCCUGCUUCCGAUACGGGCAGACUAGAGGUAUGCAGGGGAGAAUGGAAUUCCUGGUGUAGCGGUGAAAUGCGCAGAUAUCAGGAGGAACACCAGUGGCGAAGGCGGUUCUCUGGGCAUUACCUGACGCUGAGGAGCGAAAGUGUGGGGAGCGAACAGG
rnacentral:rRNA from 1 species